UUGGUUAGAACUCAGCUUAAUCCGUUAUCGCAAUGAUAACGGGCGGGGCGCGUCACGCCGGCAAUGCGCCCCAUUGGCGGAAAUUUCCGCCCGGCCUCCCUGGGGGGCCAACGGGACAUAACAGUCAAC
rfam:Pseudomonas denitrificans ATCC 13867, complete genome.